CUGGCGCCCAUAUGGGAUGCCAGCGCUUCAGGCCAUAGUGCCAGCCCCCAAUUUUAUUUAUUUAUGUGAGAGGUGGAGUCACAGAUGGAGAGAGGGAGAGACAGAGGAGUCUUUCAUCUACUGAUUCACUCCCUAAAUGGCUACAAUGUCCAAAACUGGGCCAAUCUGAAGCCAGGAACCAGGAGUUUCUUCCAGGUCUCCCACGUGGGUGCAAGGGCCCAAGAACUCGGGCCAUCUGCUGCUGCUUUCCCAGGCCAUAGCAGAGAGCUGGAUUGGACAAGGAGUAGCUGGGCCACGAACCACUGCCCAUUAGGGAUACCAGCACUGCAGGCAGAGGCUUAGCCUACUACCUCAUAGCGCCAGCCCCAAAUCAGUAACUUCUAAAAGUUUCAGUUAAUGGUGUUUACACAACUGAAAACUAUUGAGCUCAACUCGACAGCUGCUGUUCAGGAUUAAAGCAGUGGAGAUGGGGCCAGUGCUGUAGUGCUGUGGAUUAAAGCCCUGGCCUUCUGCGCCUAUGGGCACCAGUUCUAGUCCCAGCUGCUCCUCUUCUGAUCCAGUUCUCUGCUAUGGUCUGGGAAAGAUGCUAUGGUCUGGAAGAUGGCCCAAGUCCUUGGGCCCCUGCACCCACGUGGGAGACCUGGAAGAAGCUCUUGGCUCCUGGCUCCUGGCUUCAGAUCAGCGUAGCUCCAGCCGUUGUGGCCAUCUGGGGAACGAACCAGCAGAUGGAAGACACCCUCCCCCCCCACCUCUCCUUCUCUCUCUGUGUAACUUUGACUUUCAAGUAAAUAAAUAAAUCUUUUUUUUUAAAAAAAAACAGUGGAUAUACUUCAUAUCUACAUUUAAGCGAUAACUAAUAUAUUGAUUGUAUCCUUAAAAAUACUUUUUAAACAUUUAUUUAUUUAUUUGAAAUGUAGACUGACAAACAGAGAGGGAGAGGCAGACUGAGAGAGGUUCUCUUCCCAAAAGCCCACAACAGCUGGUGAUAGGCGAAGCUGAAACCAGGAGCCAGGAACUCCAUCUGGGUUUGCCACAUGUGGGCAGGAACCCAGGUACUUGGGCCAUCUUCUGCCGACUCCCGGGCAAACUAGCAGAAAACUGGAUCAGAAGCAUGGAGCAGCAGGGACUUAACCAAGGCAUUUUGCUAUGCCAUGCAGGGACCCCACGUGGUGGCUAAACAUACUGUGCCGCAAUACCCACCUCCUUAAAAAUAUUUUAUCCUGCCUUGUGAUCAUCCUUGAUGGUAUAUAACUUUCUUAAAUUUCAAAAAAAAUCAGCUAAUUUUUGUUUUGUGAAAGUACACACCUGUAUAAAACUAUGUAGGCAGGAUGUCUUGGUUGUUAUAGUUUGCAUUCCCAAAGGUCCCCACACCCAAAAGGGAGUGCCUACUGCACCAUUCAGUGGGUACCUGGUAAAUGCGCAAAGAGAAGGUCUCCAGCAUCCUCGGGGCAUGACAAACCCUCCCAGGGACAUGUCCGCGCUGAUCGCUUUGACACUUUGCUUUGGCAGAUUGGAACUUGUGUGUUUCCAGCAGGAGCAAUAUGACUCAACCGCUUAAAGGGAGGCCAGAAGAUUUCCAAAACUGAAACAAAAAGUCUCAUCUGCAGAAACAGAUCUACAGGAUAAUCUUUUGUUCUGAAACAGAAGAGGGAUGUCUUCAGAGAGCCAUGCGGGUGUGGCAUUCACAGCAAGAUCCCUCAGAUACAGCCAGUAGUGUGUCAUCUGCCCCAGGGAAGGAUCAGGCCUGAGUGCAAAUACCAGGCUGUGCCGUGUGGACGCUGGACAGUCCUGACAUCCAGUGAACGCUCUGGAAGGAUAUUAGGCUCACAUGCGAUCGUCUCUCUGCCGUCCUCCAGCCUCACGGGUUUCCUAGAUCAAAGAGGCUGCCCCACCUUGGACUGUGAACAUUCAAAAGAGAGCAAGAGAGAGAGACAGAGAGAGAUACAGAGAUCCUCCAUCCACUACUUCACUCCCCAAAUGCCUGCAACAGCCAGGAAUAGGCCAGGAGCCUGGAACCCAAUCUGGUCUCUCAUGUACGUGGUAGGGAGCCAGGAACUCAGGCUACGUCCUGCUGCGUCCUGGAGUGUGCACCAACAAGAAGGCAUAACGUAACGUCUUGGGAUCAGCCCUUGCUUCACCGAAAACCGUGGCAAAUGAAUCUCCUCGUACCUGAAGAUCAGGAAAGCAACAAGAAGGGAUGCGGUGAGUUAAAGUCAGCCCCUUCAGCGCCAUUCUCGGGAACAGAGGCGGUUGUGGGUCCAGGACACUUGACCACCCCAAGGGCAGGCAGCACAGCUGUGCCCCUCAGGCUCAUCAACGAGAUGACCAAGUACCCCAAGGACCAGGAGUCCAUGCUGGGUACCUCCAGACACAUGCUCCUUCCCUCUUUGCCCCUCAUGUCCAUCUUAACUCGACUGGAAGGAAGAAGGCAGCACACUUGGCAAAGGCAGUCUCCGGCCAGUUACAAAACCCAGUCACUAACUCGGUUUCUGAACUCACGCACGUGCAGUGUCGCGUUCUCCCUGCACAUGUCCGGCGCCUCCCUCUGGAACAGAAAGACGUCUACAGAGAUGCUGAGAACCCUGCAUCUAUGUAGCUCCGAGAGAAUGCAACAAGUCUCCAGAUCCCGUAAGCCCUCACCUGUUAAGAGGCCUGUUCAAACUCUCAUCAGAGCAGUUGUUGGUGAGUUUUGGAAACAGAGGACAAGUGUCUUUUCCUGAAGCCAUCCUGCUGGCAAUGGCAGAAUUCUCACCUAGGACGACACUCACUCACUCUGUGACCACGAUGCACUGCUUGUGACCAAACAAUGCUUCGCGGACUCCUUAGCAACCUCUGACAGAUGUAUUAGCAAUGAAGUUUCCAGCUGAGAGUUACUUUUUAAAAAAUUUCCUUUCUUGAGAAAAGCAUUAUCAUAAGCCAUUUAAAAAUUGAGUUAUGGGUGGGAAUAGUGGUGCAGUAGCGUGUCAGCACUUCUGAGACUGGCAUCUUUAAUCCCACGAAUCAUGGUUCCAGUCCUGGCUACUCUGCUUCUAACCCAGCUUCCUGCCAACCUAUCCUGAGAGGCCAUGGGUGAAACCAUACAUAUUUGGGCUGCUGCCACCCAUGUGGGAGACCUGGAUGGAGCUCCAGGCUCCUGGCUUUGGCCUGGCCCAGCCUGGGAUGUUGUGGCUCUUUCCGUCUCUCCCUCUCGGUAACUGUGUUUCAAAUAUUCUUUUAAAAAGAAAGUAUAAACCAAAUUUGCUAAAACAUAAGCUAUUUUAUUACCUUAGGCUUAUUACACUUUUUUAGAUUACAACUCAAAAAUGUUUUUAUUUCUACUUAUUUGAAAGGCAGAGUGAUACACACACCCACACAGGGCACUUCCAUUUGCUAGUUCAUUCUCCCAAAGCCCACAAUAGCCAGGGGUAGGCCAGGCCACGCAGGAGCCAGGAAUUCCAUCUGUUCUCCCCCCCCCGGGGGGGGGGGGGGGGGCAGGGCUCAAGCACGUGAGCCAUCACCUGCCGUCUCCCAGGGUGUUGUUGGGGGGAAGCUGGAUCAGAAGUGAAGGGGCUGGGAUUCCAGGAUGGAAUGUAGCAUCUCAAGCAGCCGCUUCACCCACUGUGCCACAACGCCAGCCCUCAAACUUUUUUUUUAUUUUUUUAAAGAAUUAUUUAUUUAUCGGAAAGAGUUCGAGAGAGAGAGAAGGAGAAGCAUGUGGUAGAAUGAGAAGGCCAUGCCAAGGUGGCCACUGGCAAGCGAGCGUCAGUUACUCAGGGAUGGCUUUGAAACUGCCUGGCAACAGGCUGUGAUUGGAUGGCUUUGGAAACUGCCUGGCAACAGGAUGUGAUUGGUUGGGGCAUAGACCGCCCCUUGACCAGAUUGGCUGGUCUUGGCUAUAUAAGAUGUGGUCAACUGAAAUAAAUGAGUCUGCGGGCUGCUGGCCUCAGGCCUGCUUUCACCCGACUCCUGGGGUCUGUGUGGUGACUCCGCGCCUCUUGCCCCCACCACGCUGCUCCUCUCAGAAACGAAUCCACUGCAACAGAAGCCGAAAAAGAGGGCUUCCAUCCACUGUUUCUCUCUCCAGAUGGCUACAGUGGCCGGAGCUGGGUCAAUCCGAAGCCAGGAGCCACAGCACUGGCCCCUCAAACUCCUUUUAGCAAAGAAAGAUCACUGGUGACGAUGAGCACUUCUGAGGGAAGACGGAGGAUGACAGCUGUAAAUCUGGUCGUCAGGAGGAAUCCUGCUAGGUGGGCAGAAAGAACUACUGUAAAAUACACUGGUGUGCAGAGUACUACCAGCAACACCUCUCAGGAGAGAGCUGGACACUUCCUAGACUUGGAUAACCAGAAUAUAGUGUGACAUUAAUGGGCGACCUUUUUAAAGAAAUAAACACCAAAGUGUUGUUUCUGUAUGACAGUUGGACGUGAUCCAAGACAGAAUCCGUGUGGUUUCCUAACAGUAAAGAAACAGCUGUUGAUGAAAAUGAACCACGAAGGUGGGCAAAAGGAGUCUUAAGACAAAGAAGCCUCAGGGCCGGCACCGUGGUAUAGUGGGUAAAGCUGCCUUCUGCAGUGCCGGGAUCCCAUAUGGGCGCCAGUUCGCGUCCCGGCUGCUCCACUUCCAGUCCAGCUCUGCUAUGGCCUGGGAAAGCAGUACAAGAUGGCUCAAGUCCUUGGGCUCUUACACCCACAUGGGAGACAUGGAAGAAGCUCCUGGCUUUGGAUCAGCUCAGCUCCAGUCAUUGUGGCCAAUUGAGGAGUGAACCAGCAGAUGAAAGACCUCUCUCUCUCCCUCUCUCUCUAACUCUUUCAAACAAAUAAAUGUUUAAAAAAAAAAAAAAGGAUAAAGCAGCCUCAAGCAUUGGUACCUUUCAGAAAUUGUAACUUCUGGGGCAAGUAUUUGGCCUGGUGGCUAAGACGCUGGUUAUCACAGGCGCCUGGGUGUGACACCUCCAUCCAGCUCCUGAUUCCAGCUUCCUGAGAAUGCGCUCUGGGCGGGCAGAGAUGAUGCCUCAGGUCGUUGGAUCUCUGUCACCCACGUGGAAGACCUGGAUUUUGCUCUUGGCCCCUGGCCUUGGCCCUGGCCCUGGCCCACUCCAGUCCUGGCUUUGGAGGCCAUUUGGGGGAAUGAAGCAGCAGAUGGGAGGUCUCUCAAAUACAUUGAAAAAAAUUAAAAACCCCAUAACUUUCAGUAGUAAAAUUAGUAAUAUUUGUAUCAAUAUGUAGCAUUUAAAUAUUCUGAAUGAUGAUUAUAUCUUUUAUAAUGUGUUAGCUAUUUAUUUAGAAAGAUUUAUUUAUUUGAAAGGCAGGACAGAGGAGAAAUGAUCUUCCAUCUGCUAGUUCACUCCCCAAAAGCCCACAGCAGCUCAGGUUGGGCCAGGCUGAAGCCAGGAGCCAGGAACUCCACCUGCAACUGCCCUGUGGCUGACGGGAACCCAAGCACCUGGGUCCUCUUCUGCCUCCUACCCGCAUCAGCAGGAAGCUGGAUUGGAAGCCAAGUCGCCAGGACUCAAACCAGCACCCUGACAGGGGAUGCAGGCAGCCCGAGCUGCAGCUUAACCAGCUGUAUGUACUGUCUUUAAAAUCCCUCUCAUAAGCAAUCUCAGAUACAAUACACAGUUACCUACUUACAACAUUAUUUCAGUAGUAGCAAUAUUCAUGUAAUUUUACUCUAAGGGCAGAGCUACAGAAAGGAGACAGAAAUUUCUGUUCACUGGUUCACUCCCCAAACAGCACAACUGGGAACUGGGCUAGGCCAAAGCCUAGAGCCAGAACUCCAUCCUGGUCUUCCAUGUGAGUGGCAGGGGCCCAGGCACUGGGUCAUCUUCUGCUGUCUUCCCGGCACAUUAGCGGGGAGCUGGAUGGGAAACAAAAAAACCAGCUGGGGCUUGAACUGGCACUCAUAUGGGAGGCAGGUGCUCCAGGCAGUGGCUUAGCACCGCAUGCCACAAGGCCUGCCCUGGUAAUAGCAGUUUUAUGAAAGAAGAGUUGAGUUUGAAAAUUAAAAAUGAAGUCACCUGAAGCUCAUUAAGGACUGUCAAAAACCCACUUUAUUUUCCAUUCUGUAUAAAUAAAAAGCAACCAAUAAGCAUAUUUCCCUUACAUUCAACUUCCAUGACCAAAUUUUCAGGAACUACUGAAAAAUUUCAAGUACACACUCUAUAAAGAACAGUCUAUAACUGCUGAAUUAUAUACAUUUUUGCUGCAUAUAUUAUACAUAUUUUUGUUUGAGAUACUUUAUAAACUAGCUACCUCUUGGAACAUACUAUGUAAACUAUCUUUACUGUCUUUUUAAAAUAAAAUUGAAAAUUUGAAACUUCAUGCAGAUGUGACAUUUUAAAUACCUACGUUCCUGAACACAAGCUAAGACUUAGGCAGGCCACCAGUGGGAAAUUUAAAAAUAUCCAUAGUAAUACAAAGGUAUGAAUCACAUUGGUAAUUAGUAAGAAGUCAAAAACAAAGAGUCAAUGCUUCUUUGAAAAGUUUCUGACAUUUAUUUACUUCUGGAUAAACAAAUAUGUGAGUGGAUCCAUCAGUCUAAACCUAUUUUUAGUCUCUAUUCUUCAAACUGCCUAAGAGUUCUGAGAAAACAAAAAAAAAUUUUUUUGAAUGCAUUAGGAACAGCUUACCAAUGUGUGUAUCCCAUCUGCAUUUUUAAUGGAAUGUUAAAAUCAAAACAUAAUUCACCAGAAAGAGAAAUCAGAAAAAGAAAACAAACAUUUGAAUGGCAUGUUAUAAUGACCUCCGCCCAGACCGAUUAUCAAUGAGUACUACUCGUAGUAGUUAGCACAUGCAACAGACUGAGAAAUUAGAUCUUGUGCUAUAUAAAGUUUUGUCAGGCACGAGCCAUUUGUAAAUGUUUCUGUCAAUCGCUUC